UACGUAGGUGGCAAGCGUUAUCCGGAAUUACUGGGCGUAAAGCGCACGCAGGCGGUCUUGUAAGUUUGGCGUGAAAGCUCUCGGCUUAACUGGGAGAGGUCGCUGAAGACUGCAAGACUUGAGGCAAUGAGAGGGGUGUAGAAUUCCUGGUGUAGUGGUGGAAUGCGCAGAUAUCAGGAGGAACACCGGUGGCGAAGGCGGUUCUCUGGGCAUGUCCUGACGCUGAGGAGCGAAAGUGUGGGGAGCGAACAGG
rnacentral:rRNA from 1 species